rnacentral:rRNA from 1 species
UACAGAGGUCCCGAGCGUUAGGCGGAAUCACUGGGCUUAAAGCGUGUGUAGGCGGAUGGGUAAGUACCUUGUGAAAUCCCACGGCUCAACCGUGGAACUGCUUGGUAUACUGCCUGUCUUGAGCUGGCUAGGGGCAACCGGAACAGACGGUGGAGCGGUGAAAUGCGUAGAUAUCGUCUGGAACGCCAAAGGUGAAAACAGGUUGCUGGGGCCACGCUGACGCUGAGACACGAAAGCCAGGGGAGCAAACGGG